GAAACGCGAUAGUUAAUGUGAAUUGCAGAAUUCAGUGAAUCAUCGAGUCUUUGAACGCACAUUGCGCCCAUAGGUAUUCCUUUGGGCAUGUCUGUUUGAGCGUCAUUACAACCCUCAGCUGACCGCUGGUUUUGAACCUGAACGGGUGACACCGCGCCGGUUUUAAAGUUGUAAGCUCUGCUGGCCGCUCUGCCCAACCAGAACAUAGUAAGCACUACUUGUCCGGGUGAAGCUGAACGGUACGGCCUGAACAAAACCUACCCACUCUCAAGGUUUGACCUCAGAUCAGACAAGGAUACCCGCUGAACUUAAGC
rnacentral:misc_RNA from 1 species